rnacentral:rRNA from 1 species
GAUGAACGCUGGCGGCGUGCCUAAUACAUGCAAGUCGAGCGAACGGACGAGAAGCUUGCUUUUCUGAUGUUAGCGGCGGACGGGUGAGUAACACGUGGAUAACCUACCUAUAAGACUGGGAUAACUUCGGGAAACAGGAGCUAAUACCGGAUAAUAUUUUGAACCGCAUGGUUCAAAAGUGAAAGACGGUCUUGCUGUCACUUAUAGAUAGAUCCGCGCUGCAUUAGCUAGUUGGUAAGGUAACGGCUUACCAAGGCAACGAUGCAUAGCCGACCUGAGAGGGUGAUCGGCCACACUGGAACUGAGACACGGUCCAGACUCCUACGGGAGGCAGCAGUAGGGAAUCUUCCGCAAUGGGCGAAAGCCUGACGGAGCAACGCCGCGUGAGUGAUGAAGGUCUUCGGAUCGUAAAACUCUGUUAUUAGGGAAGAACAUAUGUGUAAGUAACUGUGCACAUCUUGACGGUACCUAAUCAGAAAGCCACGGCUAACUACGUG